AAGAUUACGUCAUGGUUGUGAAGAAGAAAGUACCUGAAGUGCAGACUUUAGUUUUGGAUGAUGCCAGGUUAAAGAGUCUGAUGGAUGCUCUAUCUGUUGUGGGUUAUAGGACAUCCACACAUCUUGCUCAGAAGUUCUCAAAGACAGUCUGUCCUCCUCUGAGCCUGUAGAGCAGAUCCAGCUCAUCUCUAAGGCAGGAUCCAUGCUGGAGCAGUUGGGAGAGGAUGAUGAGUCUCCUACAGGUCCUUUACUUCAAGCUUGCUUAAACACACUGACGUUCUUAUACAUCACACUGCCAGUCAAGAAUCCACUGAAGAGAGCCGUAGCAAGUGCAAUAGCUAGAAGUCCAGAUUGGCUACAGGAGCAGACAGUUGGGUGUCUUUCUGAGUGCCUGUCUGCCUCAUUCUGCACCGUGAGCACAGAUCAAUAUCCUCACCUGACGGAUUGCAUCACUUCCUGUCUGGAUCGCUUUCCCAUUGGUACUUUUUCAUUGAUAAAUAUUGAAUAU